CCUUGGUCAACGGAAGCCAUUUUUCCGUUGAUCGCAUUUUCUGGACGUUGCCAAACACCGAAAAUUCGAAAAAUAUUUUUUGGAAGUCAUUUUCCGGGUUACCAAACACACCCUUAGUUUUAGGGGGAGGGCGCAAUUCAAUUGCAAAUGGACAAGUGGUCAACCAGGUAGAUUCAAAAUGGCUCGGUUCCCCAUUUGAGGGGGGAGUGUUGAGAGUCUCACAUUGAAAAAUAAGAGAGAAACAUAUGAGUUUAUAAGGCCAUGGGUUAGAGUACCUUAUUGAUUGGAUUCAAUCUUUUAGUGUGGUUUGGCCCAUGUGCAUUGUAGCCCAGUUAAGUGACCUUGGCUCUACUGUGAGAUAUAUAUUUCAUGGUGUGAUUACCCCGUUGCUCUAAUCACCAUAUAAGAGAACAAAGGAAAGGGUAAGACUAAAGCACUUUAGCAUUUGAAUAAAAAGUUGUCACUUUAAUGAAAAUAAUAAUUGUAGCAAUGGAUGUUAACUAGGUAGCACAAAAACGAGAAAUGAGGACACAGAACACAAUGAAAUGCAUGAUGAGGAACACAAGAGAAGCGUAUAAAUAUUAAAAAAUAUAAGUGUGUAUUUGCAAAUAACUUUUUCUUUAAAUAUGCAUGAAUAUUUAAUUGUUUACUAGUUUCUUUUUAGGAAAUGCAUUAUUUUUAAAUUAGGAAAAUGAUCCUAAUUAAAGUAAUAUGCAACCAUAAAAGGGCAUAGAUGGUGUUAGUAGAUUUCUAGGGGUUAAAAAUGACAGGAAAUGAGAACAUAUAGUAUGUAUAAUUGAAGUUGACUCAAAACAAGACCAAAUAAGUGUUUCAAUAAUUAAAGGAUAUUUGGGAAACCUCGAGGUGAAAAACAUAGUAAACUGAAAAGAAUGUAAUUCUAGCUGAGACAUUAUACCUAGUUUGAAGAUGAUAAUAACCCAUAAAUAAACAAACGCCUAAUGGAUGGCUUUCACAUAGAUCUUGCUUGAAGUUACAUUGCCCACAAAACAAGUAUAACCUAAAUCAAAGGAGAAAACAUGUAGAGGUUUCAGGUUUGUGCAGUGCCUGAAUUGCUUUGAGCCUUGGGUUUUACUAGCUCAUCAAGAUUUACCAAAGUUGAAAAAUUAAGAUCAUGUAAGGAAUUUAAUAUUUCCUACAAUGGUUAUUGGUUAGGGAUAGUUUUGAUUUUUUUUCUUUUUUCCUACUAAUAUCUUUAAUAAUUAGUAUCCAAAUACUAAGAUUAGUUUGUAUCCUAGUUUAGUUGCGAUUUCUUUUCAUAGCUUUAUUCUUGUUUCUACUUGAAUUAGGAAUAUGCAUGCUAUGCCUUUAGAUGCCUAUAAAGCCAUUGGAAAUAAGGCAUAUGCACAUACACAAAAUUGUCAUGUGCUAGCAAAAUUUUUUCUCUAUUUUUUGCAUGUUACUUGGAAGAAUUAGGCUCUAGUUCUUCUGUUUUUUUUUCCCUUUCUUUCUUUUUGCCCCUAAAGGAUCUGACUUUUCACAUUCCUGUCCUCAUAAUAAGAAGGAAUGUGGACACUUAUUGAUAACCAACAACCAAUUGAGCUUUAAGUCAGGGAAUUUGUCAAUCUGGUCCGUCCUUAACUAUAAGCAUCAGUCAAUAACCAACAAUCAAUUUUUUAUGGCAAAGGUAGUACAAGUAACCUAUUCGAAUUUGAGCCAAUUUGACAAGUAGGGGAUAUCAGAAAAAGUUAGAUAGCUAGAGGUAAUAAAAUCUAAAAGAUUGUGGAUAAGGUGACACGAGAUAAAUCAAUAGGAGUUUGGUUUAGUGCUUUCUACAAUUUGAAUACUAUGGCAUAAGGUUGCAGACAACAGAAGAAGUGAUACGAAAAAGGAUGCAUAAGAGGAUGUAGGAGGGAGGGAAUCAAUGAAUGGAUGGAGUGUUAGUGGAUUUCAAUACUUUAGUGGUUUUUUGUCCAAACUAACUCUACCAUCCUACUUGGAAUCACAUCCAACUCGAUGCCAAGAGCACUGCCACACUCAUCCUCAUGCAUCGCUCAUUUGAAAGUGGGCUUUUAAGUGGUAGAACCAGGUGAUGCUCUGUCUUCAUAGAGGUUUCAUAGUAUUGAAACAUAUUUCAGUGAAGUUGGACUUGUCUCCUUGAGGCAAGUCAUCUUGUGAUGUUUGGUCCUGCAUUGCUGCAGACCAGAGACCAGAAGUCAAUAUCAUUUUUUUUCUCCUUGUUGCCACAUCUCCAUCCACUCCAACCUUUACCUCCUUCCAUCCUAUCAUUAUGGUUAAGUCAACAUGAUGUGAUAAUUGCACUUCUUGGGUAGCUUCCACAAAA